AUCCAACUGUCGAGUCCCAGUUAGGACGAAACGCGCGUCAAACUGGAU
rnacentral:hammerhead_ribozyme from 1 species